rnacentral:rRNA from 1 species
CAGUAGCCGCGGUAAUACAGAGGGUGCGAGCGUUAAUCGGAUUUACUGGGCGUAAAGCGUGCGUAGGCGGCUUUUUAAGUCGGAUGUGAAAUCCCCGAGCUUAACUUAGGAAUUGCAUUCGAUACUGGGAAGCUAGAGUAUGGGAGAGGAUGGUAGAAUUCCAGGUGUAGCGGUGAAAUGCGUAGAGAUCUGGAGGAAUACCGAUGGCGAAGGCAGCCAUCUGGCCUAAUACUGACGCUGAGGUACAAAAGCAUGGGGAGCAAACAGGAUUAGAUACCCCGGUAGUCCCUGUCUCUUAUAC